AGCGAACGCUGGCGGCAGGCCUAACACAUGCAAGUCGAACGAAGUCUUCGGACUUAGUGGCGGACGGGUGAGUAACACGUGGGAACGUGCCUUUAGGUUCGGAAUAACUCAGGAAAACUUGUGCUAAUACCGAAUGUGCCCUUCGGGGGAAAGAUUUAUCGCCUUUAGAGCGGCCCGCGUCUGAUUAGCUAGUUGGUGAGGUAAAGGCUCACCAAGGCUACGAUCAGUAGCUGGUCUGAGAGGAUGACCAGCCACAUUGGGACUGAGACACGGCCCAAACUCCUACGGGAGGCAGCAGUGGGGAAUCUUGCGCAAUGGGCGAAAGCCUGACGCAGCCAUGCCGCGUGGAUGAUGAAGGUCUUAGGAUUGUAAAAUCAUCUCACCGGUGAAGAUAAUGACUGUAGCCGGAGAAGAAGCCCCGGCUAACUUCGUGCCAGCAGCCGCGGUAACAC
rnacentral:rRNA from 1 species